CACUUCCAAGUGCCAGCACGGAGUUUAGGGAGGUAUGGUUUCGCCAGCUAGGUGGCCGCUGUACACUUUUCCAUUUCGCCCGCUACCAGCCUUUUGCCGUCUCUCAGCAAUGUGGGUGGUGUUGGCUAUGCACUGCUACUUUAUAGUCCAGUAUCACACUCAGUGUUUCAAUCAAUGUUACAGUUACAAUUUCAUUUCCUAUUUUUAGAGGAACACAGCUGUCGGUUUGUAGGCAUCCGCCCAUGUAAGCUCACUUGGGGGGUGGUUUGGAGUGCUUCAGAUAGUUAUUCCAGCCCUCCCAUGCCUCUGUUCAGGUUCUUGGGGAAUAGUUGGAGAAGUGCAGUCCAUAUUUGUUAUGUGAUUUGCCUCCGUGGCUGAUAUCAUCAUCCCAUAGGAAAGCAUUGGAUUGGCUUAGAUUGACAAGGAGGUAGAGCAGGAGGUGAAGCCAAACAUUGCUGAUCAGAAUCUCUGCAUGGAGAUGAAUCAAAUCAAUACAUCGGACGAAAGUUCAGUGUCUCCAUGCAGAGGGUGAAGUACUGCACACUGUGCAGCAGUGCUCGAGGAAGCACCUCUAGUCGCCACCUGAGUGGCCACCACUGGAGGUGUCCCUAGGCUGUAAUGUGAACACUGCCUUUUCUCUGAAAAGACACUGUUUACAGCAAAAAACCUGAAUGGAAUGAUUAUGCACACCAGAAAAAAUACAAUAAGCUGUAGUUGAUCUGGUGACUAGUGUCCCUUUAAGGAUACAGUAAUUUAUUAUUUGUGGUUGUGCACCCUUUCACACAUUUCUUGAGGAUCCAAUUAGAGGGGUAGGAAUUCAAAUUUUUAUCACAACAAUAUUCUACUAUUGUACCAAAGAUAAAGACUUAACAUAUUUCAUUUUUUCUUUCCGUUUUUGUUGUCCUUAGUUUUAAAGGUUAGCAUACUUGUGGAAAAGAUGUGUAAACAUGUGCAAAUGUAGUAAACUAAAAGAAGAAAUAAAAAAAUCAGAUUAAUAUAGACACCUUUAACCUACAUUUUUCAAUUGAACUUGAUGUUUAGUGGAUAAACCCCAGUCUGUACUGGAUGGUAAACAUUUCACAAAGCGUGUUAGGAUCACAUAAUGGGUUUUACAAUGCACCUCUAAUGACAAAACUCUACAGAAUUCUUUUUGACAGCUUGAAAUUGACCUGUGCAGUAAGUUAUGUUUAGUUCACUACGUGAAACGCUCUGUAGUGAUAACUUAUUUAUUUUGCCAGAAAUGUAUAGCAAAAUCCAAACUGUUUCACAGCAGAGAAGAAAGAGCAUAGCUUAUAGAGAAAGUCCAUCUUUCCCCUCUAGAGUAAAGGUAUGUUGUACAUUAUUUAACAAUGUCUCUGGUUUAAGUGGGUUAUUUGUUACCGAAGUCUUUUUUUCCCCUGCAUGUUGGGAUGAUCUAUUCAAUGUGUUUAUGCAUUUGUCAUGCCGAACAUUACUUGGCGUCACUUUAAAUGGGUACUUAGCACAAAAAUCACUACUCCGUCCCUGCAGUCUGUCAAAUUUAAGUAUGAACUUUUGUAAGAAAUGUCAAUAUUUACAUUUGUUACGAAGACAAUAAGAAACAGAAACUAGAGGCACUUCUUCAUAAAAACAUAGCAAUUGAAAGUCUUCAUGUUCGGUAUUGCAAUGCUUCCGUAUAAAAAGAAAAUCUGACUGACUGGGCAAGGCAAUUGGUGCGCAUGCGCAGUAGGUUCUUAGUGCUUCUCUGUGAAAAGCAUUGGAUUGGACGUUGGAUCAUCUAGACAGAUGAGCUCCUUGAGAAAGGAACAGCCUCAGCAGGGAGACUGCCUGGCACUGCAAUACCAGCACCAGCCUUGGUUUUUGUUUUUUUUAUAUAUAUAUAUAUAUGCCAAGUAAGGAACAUAAAUAUUUAAAAAUACUUAUUUUAAUAUUUUUGGAUGUUAACAUUUCAUCUACACAUUGUACUUGUCAAAUAGCUAGCAACUGUAUAGUUGAAAAGUUAUUGCAUAUCAUGUCGUUUGACCCUUCGGGGUUUUACCAAUGUGUGUUGUAAUUUAGUUUUGGAGCUAAGUGGAAAAAUGGGUCUCUAUAUAUAACAAUUUUUUUCCCCCAGCUAAGGAUGAUAUUUUAACCCUUUCACGACUGGAUUAAAUAGAGGAUCUCACUGGGUUAUACAAGACACUGUUCUCGCAAGCACAUGGGAGGAGACCGGGAAGAUUUAUUUAACAUUGAACUAGCUACCUAUAAAUAAAAGAGCCACCUUUGGGCAAAGCUUCGAU